GCUGCUCAUUUGGCUCCUCCCCCGCUGCUUUGGACGCAUGGAUUUGAAGUGAGACAGCUGGGUCCAGCUGACCCGUACCUGGCGCUGCCACAACAGGAGACAGCAGGCAGAAGUGACUCCACCACUCCCUGCUUUUAGGGCCGUGCCUUGGGUCGAGGUAGAGCUUCCCCACUGCAUGCACCGUAGCAAUUUGCACAUGAUUUCAGGCCCAUAUUGGAAGCAGAAUGCAGGAAUACAUUGGCUUCACCCUUGUCAGAGGAUCUUAGGUUUGGGAUACCACCAGAACAUCUCAUCCUCUCUCCCACAUGCUGGGGCAUAAUCAAUGGCUUUCCUGCAAGUUCUCAGCCUCUCCCUGCAAGACAAUGAGAAGUGGGGGACGAUGUGCAGUAAUGCCAGAGGACAAAGGAUAUAAGACAGUAAGUAAGAGUUGUAGCUGAAAACAGAGGAUAACUACUUGCAUUGAGCUCAAAGAUGUAAAAAGGAGGAGAAAGAAGUAGCUGGUGCUGCAAUGAUGGGGAUGCUGGCUAGAUGGUGCUAGCACAUGCUCCUGUGCUUUUAUCAUGAACAUUAUUGCUGCUUUUCCUUUAGACAGAGGUUUCAUUUCCAUUGCAAGAGCUGGAGAAGUUACUGUCUGCUGGUGGUAUUGCUAACAGAGAACUGGUAGUCCCCAAUGGAGUUCUUGUUCAUGUCAAAGAUGAAGGUCUCUUGGAAUAUGAGAAAGAUAAAGCUUUCUUUGCAGCACUGGGGAAUUAUAAGCAGCUGUCUCAACCCAAUAGUCCUGUGUUGGCUAAACAUGACACAAAAUAUAAUAUCUGCCUGAUGUCAUCCCUGAACUCACCCCUUCUCGUGCUAUGCUGCAGAAACUCAUUCUUAAUCCUCUGGACUAUACUGGAUUAAGCUCUCCUGGCUGUGCUGACAGAGCCGGCUCCAGUCACCAAGGCAACAGCAGGCUCCUCAGCUCCUGCAAGACGUGUGUCCACGUGGUGAGGUGAAGAUCCUGGCUCCAGCACACCCAGUCCUGCAAGCCACACACUUUUCAUCUGUAUGUUGUGCAUUGUAUUUGGUGCUGCAUUCUGCUUGUGGCAGAGCAUCUGUACGGCUCUUCAGAAGAUGCAGGACCAGGUGCACCGACUUCCAAAGACUUGCUCCUGAUUCACACUGCUACAAUCACAAGGAGAAGGACUCCACAUUAUUGUUCCAAGGAAUGAAUCCUGAAGGUCUCUUGAUCUGUGAAGCAACUACAGGGAAAUUUGUAGUAGAAACAGUCCCAUUACUGCCUUUUGUCCACAUGACUUAUUUUGAUCCUGCUAAUGUGACUAGCAGUAUUUCCUAAGAAAUACACUUUUUGUUCCUGCCUCCUUCUUAUGCACAAGUUUUCCUCUAAUUCCUGUUGAUGCUACCCUGCCUGGUACAGAAUGAACCAUUUCCCCUCAUUCCCACAAGCAAAUCCCAUGCAGCCCUGUGCAGCAGGUAUCAAGAACCACCUGGUCGCACUGAAGUGAGAGACUCAGUCCAGAGGCCCUCAGCUGAGCAGCAGCCAUAGCACAGCUCCAAAGGUAGCUCAUCUAUGUGGUUCUUUUCCAGCCUCUCUUUUCCCCUGGAAGAAGAGGAAAACUUUGGUAUAAGUAUGGCUACAGUCACCAUGGCUGCCUGGCACAGAAAUCAAUGGAAGGGCAUGAAAUAUAGUCCAAUCCCUGUCAUGACACUUCUCAGGUGGGAAGUUGCCAGUAAGAAGUGCUUCUGUCCUACAGCUCUCUUCCCUCUGAUGUUACAAAACCAAAGUGGCUGUGGACUGCAAUGUGACGGUCAGUGAACCUCAACAAGCCAUGAGAUGGUUCAAAGAGUGGAGACUGGUGAUUAAGCAUUAACAAACAUUAGCCAAAAGUACAGCAAAAGAGGAUAUCAGACAUUAGCAAAACAGGAUUCUGCUGCAACGCUCCAGUGAGGUGGAAAAAUGACAACCUGUGCAUUCUCCAUCCCUGGAGAUACUCAAGACUGGAUAAAGCUAUGAGCAAUCUGGCCAUAUCUUCAGUCAACCCUGAUAUUAACAAGAGGUUGAUCCAGAAACCUCCAGAGGUGUCUUCCAACCUGAACUAUGCUGUGCCCAUUGCAACUUAAGGAUGGUGUGGCGUUGCCUCCGUGCUUAGCAGAAUAGCAACUUCUGGCCUUUAUUUCAUGGCCAGAGACAUGUAUCUCAUCUCUGCUGAAGAAAACUCUUCCAUUUUUCAUGCUUCACCAGCAAGAGUUGCUGGGUAUGGCUACAGAAGCAGCUCAAUUCCAUAGUGCAAGACUGAUCCACAAGCAUUUCCAGUUAGCUUAAAUCAUGAGCUCCUAAACCAAUGAGUGCUGACACAUUGCAUUGUGAGGAGAUAAAAUGUGGUUGGGCAUUUAAGUGAUGAGCAGAAAUUUCCCUUAAUCUUGUCAUAUUCCCUUGAAGCAGUCAUGAGUUACAACACAGACUAAUCCCUACUGCCUGUCAUUCCUCACCUUAUGAAUAACCCAAACAUACAACUUUGCUUCCAGAGAUUUUUUUAGAGUUCUGUUGAUUCUUUUUUGUUCUUUCUAUGUCUAUCUUUCCAUUUACUGGCAAGUAUUUUAUCUUCAUUUAUGCCUAUAAAUCACAUGACACCAAGGUUAUGCACUCUCAAGGCUACUCCUCCACGCAACCUUUUCUCAUGAUGAGCAGUAGUUGUAAACGCACUAAAGGUGAGAAGAGACAGGGGGAACAUGCUGCCCUAAUAAAGUUGUUGGAGCCCUCAGUGCAAUAAAAUAAGCUAGAAUGUAGCACAAA